ACAGCAGUAGCCGCGGGAAUACGUAGGGUGCAAGCGUUAAUCGGAAUUACUGGGCGUAAAGCGUGCGCAGGCGGUUAUAUAAGACAGAUGUGAAAUCCCCGGGCUCAACCUGGGAACUGCAUUUGUGACUGUAUAGCUAGAGUACGGCAGAGGGGGAUGGAAUUCCGCGUGUAGCAGUGAAAUGCGUAGAUAUGCGAAGGAACACCGAUGGCGAAGGCAAUCCCCUGGGCCUGUACUGACGCUCAUGCACGAAAGCGUGGGGAGCAAACAGGAUUAGAGACCCCCGUAGUCCCUGUCUCUUAUAC
rnacentral:rRNA from 1 species